UACAAGCCGAAUUAAGGUGAAACCGCGAAAGGCUCAUUAAAUCAGUUAUGGUUCCUUAGAUCGUACCCACACAUACUUGGAUAACUGUGGUAAUUCUAGAGCUAAUACAUGCAAACAGAGCUCCGACCGGAGACGGAAGGAGUGCUUUUAUUAGAUCAAAACCAAUCGGCGGCGGUCCGCGUAAAUGCGGAUCGUUCGUCGCAUAGACUGGUGACUCUGAAUAACUUUACGCUGAUCGCACGGUCUAGCACCGGCGACGCAUCUUUCAAAUGUCUGCCUUAUCAACUGUCGAUGGUAGGUUCUGCGCCUACCAUGGUUGUAACGGGUAACGGGGAAUCAGGGUUCGAUUCCGGAGAGGGAGCCUGAGAAACGGCUACCACAUCCAAGGAAGGCAGCAGGCGCGCAAAUUACCCACUCCCGGCACGGGGAGGUAGUGACGAAAAAUAACGGUACGGGACUCAUCCGAGGCCCCGUAAUCGGAAUGAAUACACUUUAAAUCCUUUAAUGAGUAUCAAUUGGAGGGCAAGUCUGGUGCCAGCAGCCGCGGUAAUUCCAGCUCCAAUAGCGUAUAUUAAAGUUGUUGCGGUUAAAAAGCUCGUAGUUGAAUCUGUGUCCCGCGCUGUCGGUUCACCGCCCGCGGUGUUUAACUGGCACGUCCGCGGGACGUCCUGCCGGUGGGCUCGUUUCGUGCGUCGCAUGUAAAGUGCGGCGUUCGGCGGCCCGACUCACAAUCCCGCUUCGGUGCUCUUGACUGAGUGUCGAGGUGGGCCGGCACGUUUACUUUGAACAAAUUAGAGUGCUCAAAGCAGGCCGAUAUCACGCCUGAAUACUGUGUGCAUGGAAUAAUGGAACAGGACCUCGGUUCUAUUUUGUUGGUUUUCGGAAUUCCGAGGUAAUGAUUAAUAGGGACAGAUGGGGGCAUUCGUAUUGCGACGUUAGAGGUGAAAUUCUUGGAUCGUCGCAAGACGGACAGAAGCGAAAGCAUUUGCCAAAAAUGUUUUCAUUAAUCAAGAACGAAAGUCAGAGGUUCGAAGGCGAUCAGAUACCGCCCUAGUUCUGACCAUAAACGAUGCCAGCUAGCGAUCCGCUGACGUUCCUCCGAUGACUCGGCGGGCAGCUUCCGGGAAACCAAAGCUUUUGGGUUCCGGGGGAAGUAUGGUUGCAAAGCUGAAACUUAAAGGAAUUGACGGAAGGGCACCACCAGGACUGGAGCCUGCGGCUUAAUUUGACUCAACACGGGAAACCUCACCAGGCCCAGACACCGGAAGGAUUGACAGAUUGAGAGCUCUUUCUUGAUUCGGUGGGUGGUGGUGCAUGGCCGUUCUUAGUUGGUGGAGUGAUCUGUCUGGUUAAUUCCGAUAACGAACGAGACUCUAGCCUGCUAACUAGGCGUAUUUUCCGGCAUCCUGAAGGCUCGCGUCGUCCGCCAGCCGCGCGGCGCGGGCGUGCGUGCCGGGCUCGUCGUGUGGCGUGUCAUCCUCUUACGGGGCUGUCGCGACCCUCGACUUUUUCGGUUUCGCGCGUUCCGCGACCACGCGGUCGGGCGCACGCGGUUUUUACUGCCGGCGUACACAUUAAUCUUCUUAGAGGGACAAGCGGCUCCUAGCCGCACGAGAUUGAGCAAUAACAGGUCUGUGAUGCCCUUAGAUGUUCUGGGCCGCACGCGCGCUACACUGAAGGAAUCAACGUGUCUUCCCUGGCCGAGCGGUCCGGGUAACCCGCUGAAACUCCUUCGUGCUAGGGAUUGGGGAUUGCAAUUUUUCCCCAUGAACGAGGAACUCCCAGUAAGCGCGAGUCAUAAGCUCGCGUUGAUUACGUCCCUGCCCUUUGUACACACCGCCCGUCGCUACUACCGAUUGAAUGAUUUAGUGAGGUCUUCGGACCGGUACGCGGAGGCGUUUCGACGUCGCCGAUGUC
rnacentral:rRNA from 1 species